rnacentral:rRNA from 1 species
AGUGAACGCUGGCGGUAGGCCUAACACAUGCAAGUCGAACGGCAGCACACUAAGAGCUUGCUCUUACGGGUGGCGAGUGGCGGACGGGUGAGGAAUACAUCGGAAUCUACUUUUUCGUGGGGGUUAACGUAGGGAAACUUACGCUAAUACCGCAUCCGCCCUACGGGUGAAAGCAGGGGAUCUUCGGACCCUGCGCGAUUGAAUGAGCCGAUGUCGGAUUAGCUAGUUGGCGGGGUAAAGGCCCACCAAGGCGACGAUCCGUAGCUGGUCUGAGAGGAUGAUCAGCCACACUGGAACUGAGACACGGUCCAGACUCCUACGGGAGGCAGCAGUGGGGAAUAUUGGACAAUGGGCGCAAGCCUGAUCCAGCCAUACCGCGUGGGUGAAGAAGGCCUUCGGGUUGUAAAGCCCUUUUGUUGGGAAAGAAAAGCAGCAGGUUAAUACCCCGCUGUUCUGACGGUACCCAAAGAAUAAGCACCGGCUAACUUCGUG